AGUUAGCAGCCGACUAAUUGUCCAAGUUCACCCAGUGAAAAUGCUCAGUGUCUGUUACGUGGUCAGCUGUUGUGGAAUGGGAUAAACAAGUACUUGAGGGAGAAGUUUUUAAUCCAGCAAGGGAUGGAUGCCUUACUUGGUACUCAGACAGUGGCGCCUGUAUAUUUGUAAUCGGGGUAGCAUAACACUAAAUCCCCUACAUGUGUUUCACAUCUUCUCACCAACCCUUUCCCCUAAAUGCUCCAUUUCUUUUUCCUCCACAGUGUUUGUUUUGAAACCACACGUCCUCUUUCCUCUCAUGGAAACCACCUGUAGCAGCAACCACUGGAGCUUCAGCAAACAUUUGAUUUUGAUAACAAGGCAAGUACCCAUGCUCUAUUAUGCCUCUGGCCUGAGGGAUUUUUGCAGAACUGGAAACCCAUAAAAGCUGAAGCCACCUGAAGCCAGCAUCUCUCCCAGUCUAGGGGCUGCUAACCAAAAGGUUGGAGGUUCUAACUCACCCAGCAGCUCUUCAGGAGAAAGACCUGGACCACCUAUUGUGUCCCUCG